AUCCUCCUUCUGUCGUCAUCCCGAACGUCACUGUGCAACACUGUAGAACGUUACUAUUUGGUACUGGUAUAAUACAACAUGAACAAAUAUAUGCUAGUGUUACUUUUGGUCAGUUUUGUGGCCAUUACCAUCGUGCCUAACGUAACUGCAGGGCCGUGGCAGCCGUAUUUAUGUAAGUGCAGGUAUAGAUGUUUCUUUGGAGAGAUCAAUAAAGGACCGUUUUACCCUCGUAAAUGCGGAUACAGAAAAACAAACUGCUGUAAGAGAAGACGUGGAUAGGUAUGCUUGAUUGAUUUCUACUGCCAUUUACCGGAUCAGACUGAUUUAAAAAGUUUACAGAGCAUUAGAAUGAUAAACAAAUUGACAUAUAUUAAAUGGUCAAUACAAUUGAUUGAACUUUG
rnacentral:lncRNA from 1 species